rnacentral:rRNA from 2 species
GGCUCAGGACGAACGCUGGCGGCGUGCCUAAUACAUGCAAGUCGAACGAACUCUGGUAUUGAUUGGUGCUUGCAUCAUGAUUUACAUUUGAGUGAGUGGCGAACUGGUGAGUAACACGUGGGAAACCUGCCCAGAAGCGGGGGAUAACACCUGGAAACAGAUGCUAAUACCGCAUAACAACUUGGACCGCAUGGUCCGAGCUUGAAAGAUGGCUUCGGCUAUCACUUUUGGAUGGUCCCGCGGCGUAUUAGCUAGAUGGUGGGGUAACGGCUCACCAUGGCAAUGAUACGUAGCCGACCUGAGAGGGUAAUCGGCCACAUUGGGACUGAGACACGGCCCAAACUCCUACGGGAGGCAGCAGUAGGGAAUCUUCCACAAUGGACGAAAGUCUGAUGGAGCAA